GCUGGGCAUGGUGGCACAUGCCUGUAGUCCCGGUUACUUGGGAGGCUGAGGCAGGAGGAUCUCUUGAGUCCAGGAAUUCUGGGCUGUGGUACACUGUGCCAAUCAGGUGUCCACACUAAGUUCAGCAUCAAUAUGGUGACCUCCUGAGCACGGCAGAUCACCAAAUUGCCCAAGGAGAGGUGAACUGGCCCAGGUCAGAAACAGAGUAGAUUAAACUCCCAUGCUGAACAGUAGUGGGAUUGUGCUUGUGAAUAGCCACUGUACUCUAGCAUGGGCAACACAGUGAGUCCCUGCCU
rnacentral:SRP_RNA from 10 species